AUGGAGUGUCUGAGCCACGA
rnacentral:siRNA from 1 species